rnacentral:rRNA from 1 species
UACGUAGGGACCAAGCGUUGUUCGGAUUUACUGGGCGUAAAGGGCGCGUAGGCGGCUUAACAAGUCACUUGUGAAAUCUCCGGGCUUAACUCGGAACGGCCAAGUGAAACUGUCAAGCUAGAGUGCAGAAGGGGCAAUCGGAAUUCUUGGUGUAGCGGUGAAAUGCGCAGAUAUCGGGAGGAACACCAAUGGCGAAGGCAGCUCGCUGGGACGUUACUGACGCUGAGACGCGAAAGCGUGGGGAGCAAACAGG